rnacentral:rRNA from 1 species
AGAGUUUGAUCCUGGCUCAGAACGAACGCUGGCGGCAGGCUUAACACAUGCAAGUCGAACGCAUCCUUCGGGGUGAGUGGCAGACGGGUGAGUAACGCGUGGGAACGUGCCCUUCAGUUCGGGAUAACCCAGGGAAACUUGGGCUAAUACCGGAUACGUGCGAGAGCAGAAAGAUUUAUCGCUGAAGGAUCGGCCCGCGUCUGAUUAGCUAGUUGGUAGGGUAAUGGCCUACCAAGGCGACGAUCAGUAGCUGGUCUGAGAGGAUGAUCAGCCACAUUGGGACUGAGACACGGCCCAAACUCCUACGGGAGGCAGCAGUGGGGAAUAUUGGACAAUGGGCGCAAGCCUGAUCCAGCCAUGCCGCGUGAGUGAUGAAGGCCUUAGGGUUGUAAAGCUCUUUCGUCCGGGACGAUAAUGACGGUACCGGAAGAAGAAGCCCCGGCUAACUUCGUGCCAGCAGCCGCGGUAAUACGAAGGGGGCUAGCGUUGUUCGGAAUCACUGGGCGUAAAGGGCGCGUAGGCGGCUUUAUAAGUCGGGGGUGAAAGCCUGUGGCUCAACCACAGAAUUGCCUUCGAUACUGUAGAGCUUGAGACCGGAAGAGGUAAGUGGAACUGCGAGUGUAGAGGUGAAAUUCGUAGAUAUUCGCAAGAACACCAGUGGCGAAGGCGGCUUACUGGUCCGGUUCUGNNGCUGANNNNNGAAAGCGUGGGGAGCAAACAGGAUUAGAUACCCUAGUAGUCC